GAUGAACGCUAGCGGCAGGCCUAACACAUGCAAGUCGAGGGGUAGAACACUUCGGUGUUUGAGACCGGCGCACAGGUGCGUAACGCGUAUGCAAUCUACCUUAUACAGGGGAAUAGCCCAGAGAAAUUUGGAUUAAUGCCCCAUAGCAUUACGACUUGGCAUCAAGAUGGAAUUAAAGUUCAAACGUACUAAGAUGAGCAUGCGUCCCAUUAGUUAGUUGGUAAGGUAACGGCUUACCAAGACGAUGAGGGGUAGGGGUCCUGAGAGGGAGAUCCCCCACACUGUUACUGAGACACGGACCAGACUCCUACGGGAGGCAGCAGUGAGGAAUAUUGGUCAAUGGUCGCAGGACUGAACCAGCCAUGCCGCGUGCAGGAAGACGGUCCUAUGGAUUGUAAACUGCUUUUAUACAGGAAGAAACCCUCCCACGUGUGGGAGCUUGACGGUACUGUAGGAAUAAGGAUCGGCUAACUCCGUGCCAGCCGCCGCCGUAAUAC
rnacentral:rRNA from 1 species